UCUUGGAAAGUGAAACAAGGCAGAGUAUUAGAAAACUGUGUUCAAAGGCACACACAUCUCUGGAGAUGUGGCUUCCUGCAACCUGGACUGUUUAGAAGGUAUGAAAUAGUCCUGAGCUCCAGCCUUUAGGCCCUGUGGAGUUGGCCCACUGCCUUCAAAGUACUGUUUAUGCCUUGUGAGGGACUUGUGUACAGCUGAGGAAAUGCACAGCCAAUGGAUCACUGAAUGCAGUGACUGGCCAGCCAAGGAAGGACAAAGUGGCAGGAAUUCAAUCAGGAGCAGAGCAGAGCAAUUGGCUCUCUUGCUAUAGGGAAGAACAGACACUACCUCUGCCCUGAGAGCCUGGGAGGAAAAUCAGCCAUGAAAGCAGGUCAGCUCCCAGUCAGCUCUUUUCUCACUGGUUGGACUGUCUCAGUCAAAAAGAUCUCAAGCAAUCCUACAGACCUCCAUGGCUUACCUUCCAGAGAUGCUGUCCAAGAAGAUGAGGAAUACCAGCAGUUGAAUGGAAUUCUGGAAGCUUUCUUGUCACUUAACAUUGGGAGAUGUUGAUGCAGAGAGAGGCAGAUGAAAAUGAUCCCAUUUUCGCUGUGCUUCUGCUAGCAGAGUGGUGAGGGGGGUCAGGUGUGAAGGACAUAUUAGUGGAGGAAUAGCCAAUCCACUUUAAUACCUCCAGUCUCUAAGAAGAUUAAGGAGUAUUGUAUAGAUUUGGAUCUAUAUCUGAAGCCAGUAUCUUCGUCUACUACUACAGAUUAUUCUCAGUAUGAGGGCAGGAGCUUAUUUCCAUUACAAACUAUAAUAUAAAAGCAUCAACUCUGAGAUAUGUACCAUUAGCUAUGGACAGGAGCAGGCCACUGCUUGGAUAAUUCACAUUGCUCCUUCGUGUGCUGCAGUAGUUGCUUCAAGACAACUUGCACACAGCUUUGCUCUGACAGGCUGGACGAGCAUUUCUGCUGAGGCCACUUUUGCUGGCACAGUCGUGCUCCUUGCCAAAGACUUCAUGGUCAUAUAGCUCCAAUCAGUACAUUUAUUGCAGGGGAACUGGAAAACGCAGAGAAGCAAGCUGUUUUCUGAACAGCAGCAGUACACUCAGACUUUGCAAUAGAUGUCACUGAUACCUCAUCCUUACUCUGUAUUUUCUGGAAUGGAAGAAGGAGGUCCCUGAGCCCCGGGGAUGCUUUUUUCAUAACCUAUUCUCUAUACACAGCUAUC